AUUAUAAAUAGACAAUGGGGUUAAUUAUUUUUUAAUACAAAAAAAAAAUAAUACAUCAACACCCCCACAACACCACAAACCACUGAUCUUUCCUUUCUCCUCUCUCUCACUAAUCUCUCUUUCUGAUGUCUCUCACUACUGCCCCAUCGAAAUUAAUCACUGGGUAGCAUGCUCCAUCUUCUGUCACCACUACCGCCGCGACGUUGUUGAUACUUGUCUUUUUUUUUUCACUGCUGGCUCACCAAAGAUGAUGACUGGUGAGUUACAGUCAAGCUCCACCACCAACGCUACGUUGUUGGAGUUGGUGUCUAGCAAGCUUUGACUGAGUUCCCCCAUCACUGUCGUACUAUUGAUGGCCAGAUCUGGUCGAAACUUUAUAUAUCCGUCGUCGUUCCACUAUACACUGUUGAAGCAACACUGGUGAAAUUUGAUUCCAUGCGAUCUCCCCGUAUAUUUCAGCGAACAAGUGUUGGUUUGCUCAUAGGAUUAUGAACUUACAGUUUACUGUUAUUGCUAAUUCUUUCAAAUUUGGUGGAACUUUUUAUAUUUGUUGGACAUUUGUUCAUUGUCAUUACAUUCGCUCUCUUUGUGUUA